CUAGGUCGGGCCGUCCCAGUAGA
rnacentral:siRNA from 1 species